rnacentral:rRNA from 1 species
AGUGAACGCUGGCGGUAGGCCUAACACAUGCAAGUCGAACGGCAGCACAGUAAUAGCUUGCUCUUACGGGUGGCGAGUGGCGUACGGGUGAGGAAUACAUCGUAAUCUACUUUUUCUUGGGUGUUAACGUAGGGAAACUUACGCUAAUACCGCAUACGACCUACGGGUUAAAGCAGUGGAUCUUCGGACCUUUCUCGUUUUUAUGAUCCGAUGUCGGAUUAGCUAGUUGGCUGGGUAAAGGCCCACCAAGGCGACGAUCCGUAGCUGGUCUGAGAGGAUGAUCAGCAAAACUGGAAGUGAGACAAGGAACAGAAGAAUACGGGAGGGAGCAGUGGGGAAUAUUGGACAAUGGGGGAAAGCAUGAUACAGCAAUACCGCGUGGGUGAAGAAGGAGUUCGGGUUGUAAAGAACUUUUGUUGGGAAAGAAAAGAAGCAGGAUAAUACCACGCUGUUCUGACGGUACCAAAAGAAUAAGCACCGGCUAACUUCGUG